CUUGAAUAAAAGUAGUUAUAUUCUUCAUAACUCAAAGAAUUUGGCGGUUAAUAAAAGUUUUUAGAGGAACCUGUAUUUUAAUUGAUAAUCCACGGUAAUUUAUACCUCAAAAUUUAUUUGUAUAUCUCUAUGGUAAAAGAGAUUGUUCUUUAAGGAAAUUUUCUUUUUGUUUAAUCAUGUAUUUUAGGUCAAGGUGCAGUUUUUUUGAGGUAAAUAUGGGUUACAUUAUUAAUGAUUUUUAGGAAGAUUUUAGUUUUUUAUUAAGAUGAUUUAGGAUUUAAAAGUAAAUUAAAUUAAUUAAUUUGGUUGAAUAUU
rnacentral:rRNA from 1 species